GAGCCUAAGUUUGGUCUUAAAAUUUGACUUCUAAUCAGAUUAAGGGGGUUCAAGUCCCCCUAGGCUUU
rnacentral:tRNA from 1 species